rnacentral:rRNA from 1 species
AUUGAACGCUGGCGGCAUGCCUUACACAUGCAAGUCGAACGGUAACGGGCCUUCGGGUGCCGACGAGUGGCGAACGGGUGAGUAAUACAUCGGAACGUGCUCGAUCGUGGGGGAUAACGAGGCGAAAGCUUUGCUAAUACCGCGUACGAUCUACGGAUGAAAGCAGGGGACCGCAAGGCCUUGCGCGGACGGAGCGGCCGAUGGCAGAUUAGGUAGUUGGUGGGAUAAAAGCUUACCAAGCCGACGAUCUGUAGCUGGUCUGAGAGGAUGAUCAGCCACACUGGGACUGAGACACGGCCCAGACUCCUACGGGAGGCAGCAGUGGGGAAUGUUGGACAAUGGGCGCAAGCCUGAUCCAGCCAUGCCGCGUGCAGGAUGAAGGCCUUCGGGUUGUAAACUGCUUUUGUACGGAACGAAAAGCCUUCUUUUAAUACAGGGGGGUCAUGACGGUACCGUAAGAAUAAGCACCGGCUAACUACGUG